UCCUGGUUUCCCAGGCAGUCCCAUCAGAGUGCUUUACAGAGUAAAUAGCAACUGAUAGCAAGGGUUGCGCUCGUUAGAGGACUUAACCUAACAUCUCACGACACGAGCUGACGACAGCCAUGCAGCACCUGUGCAAUUGUCUAAACCGAAGCCUAGAAGACCAUAUUUCUACAGCUGUCAAAAGCAUGUCAAACCCAGGUAAGGUUCCUCGCGUAGUGUCGAAUUAAACCACAUGUUCCACCGCUUGUGCGGACCCCCGUCAAUUUCUUUGAGUUUUAGUCUUGCGACCGUAAUCCCCAGGCGAAUCACUUAACGCGUUAGCUACGAUACUGAUCCAGCUAGGCCGAACCAACAUCUAGUGAUCAUCGUUUACAGCGUGGACUAC
rnacentral:misc_RNA from 1 species